CUUUGCUGCCCUCUGGGCCCACUCCAGGAGCUCCCUGUCUCUCUUGUCCUGAGGAGCCGAACCUGGACACAGCACUCCAGUGCAUGGAGACAACUGCCUCUGGAGGGGAACUAUUUACACCUGUUUCAGAAAUAGGGACCAGAGGCUGCACAAGACCAAAAGAAGCUCAAGGAAGUCAAAACUGCAACAGGCUUUGGGGACCUGACCCCAGCCUAACCUGUUAAGCAUUUUGUGAAGAAUAUGUAACAUGCCCUAAACUGUUAAAGCUGUUUCUAUUUCAAGAAUGACAGAAGGGUUGUACUUGCCUUUGGUAUUCAAACAACCAGCUGUAAGAGAGCUUUCCAGGGAUAUGUGAAACAAGGGUUCUCCUAGGCAAAAACAAGGUCAACCAGUAUUUUGGGGAGGUGCCCCAACCACUAAAGAGUGGGGCUGGAGGGAAGCACCCCGCAGAUCCCUUUGGAAUCUUGCCUCCUACCACAAGGAACAUCCUUCACCUCAGUUCAGGGAAGAUUUUCAACCUCACUGGGAUUGUCAGAGCUCCUUCUUAUUAUUUCUCUUCACUUCUCUUCUCAAUUCUUCUUUCCCUUCCCCCUAGAAGCACAAGCUACAAAAAAGCAAAGUGAAGGUCACACACUGGCUUGUCCCUAGUGACAAAUGCAGGGAUGAGCAGUAGUACCCGUCUGUGACAGCUCCUGGAGAACUAAGGCCGUUUCAGAUACCCUUUUUCUUUGUAAACUUCUGGUUUUUAGCUGCUGAUCCAACUUCCCUUUCUAGAGCCAUACAGCCAUUCCACUGGUCAGACAAAGAAACUCUGUUUUUUAGACAGAGAAUAAGUGUACCUGCACCAGUCUAAAUAAUAAACUUGCAAAUCCUUUGCUGUAAGGUCUGUGGUGCGUGAAAAUCCACUUUUCAACAAACAGAAAUAAAUGUAAUGGGAGAUCAGUCAGGAGUUCCUGGACUCUGCCACUGCAAGAAUUUAUGCAUUGGACUAAUGACAAAGCAUUAAAGAAACAAAGUAAAAAAGAAAAAGACAUCCUAAAAUAUUUAAGUGUGUUCUUUCGGCAAGCAAAUGUAUUCCUGCCUCAAGAGUGUAGUACACUAGAUAAGAUAUUUUCUGUUACUCCUGCAGAAAAAGCAAAUAACUACCUGCUUUACAACCCUCCUUGUUCCCCGUGUUUGCCA